AAAUAAACAAAAAAGAUAAAAAAAUUAUAAAAAAUACGAAAAUAAAACCACUAAAUCGCCAAAUUUAAAAUCGCCAAAACAUCAUUCACACCUUGCAGAUUCGCCCUCAGAUAGGGUCAAGGCCUGUUUGCUGACAACUGAGGCUGCAACAAUACCAAAUCUAACUUCCUAUUCUAUUAUAAUCCGAUCUCUCAUUUACACCUAGCACAUUUGCCCUCAUAACAUAUUAAAUAAUUGAUAAAACAAAAAAGAAAAAAAAUGAUAAAAAAAAACAAAUGAAAAAAGAAAAAAUGAUAGAAAUGAGAACCAACUUUCUAACGGAUAUUACACAAUAUCCGUUAAUCGAAUUGAAUAACCAGGGAUAUUACACAAUAUCCGUACAUCGAAUUGAAUAACUGAGAACCAAGUA